rnacentral:lncRNA from 1 species
CCUGAAUCCUCAACGAAUGCGUCAGCACACAGAUCGUUUACACCGAUAAAUUAUUUACCAAAUUUUACACCAUUCUCGAAUUUAAAACGGUCUGCUGUAAAAGCAAUUUCCUUUUACAAUUGCCGACCAACUGAAAGUUGUGUGUAAAACUCAUCAUUCUGGAUUGUUUGAUGUUCUUGGCCUUGGUUAAGGGUGAGAACCUCAAUCGGCGGCCAAUAAACCACUGAAUCCCAACC